rnacentral:rRNA from 1 species
AUUGAACGCUGGCGGCAGGCCUAACACAUGCAAGUCGAGCGAGAGGCGGGCGGGGGUGAACUGUCUGUGAAACUGCCUGAUGGAGGGGGGUAACUAUUGGAGACGGUAUCUAAUACCGCACACCAUCAGCUGUGCCCAGGUGGGGUUAGCUAGUAGGUGGGGUAAAGGCUCACCUAGGCGACGAGCCCUAGCUGGUCUGAGAGGAUGAACAGCCACACUGGAACUGAGACACGGUCCAUACUCCUACGGGAGGCAGCAGUGGGGAAUAUUGCACAAUGGGCGCAAGCCUGAUGCAGCCAUGCCGCGUGUGUGAAGAAGGCCUUCGGGUUGUAAAGCACUUUCAGCGGGGAGGCGUUACCCGCAGAAGAAGCACCGGCUAACUCCGUGCCAGCAGCCGCGGUAAUAC